UUUAAAGAUGACACUGAUUUUAUUUUCCUCGUAUAAAAGGAGACAUUUUACUCUGUGUUGAUUUAACAAAUAUUCUUAAUAUAUUCAUAACAAUAAAGCAGCUAAAAAGCUGUUCUAAUCUCUAAAAGAAUCUUUUAUCAUCUGCACAUAUGAUAUAUAUUGUAAACAAUCACUCCAAAAAAAAAGUUUUGUUAAAGUGAUUAUAUUGCACUCAGAAUUCUGGAAUUCUCAUUCUCCCUUCUCAUUUUAAAUUAAAGAUCAGCUUCAUUUUUUCAUAAAAUGGAGCUUUAAUUUUCUACUAAAAACAAGUAGGCAUGCAAUCAAUAUAAUACAAUGUACUUAAAAUGUCAGAAAAAGGGUGUUUGGUUAUGAAACUGGAGUAAGGAACAAUUCUCAAAUAGGCCACAUGAGAGUAGUAUACUGUAAACAUUCUGCUGGCUCUAAGGUGUCGCAGAUGCUGUAGAGUGCAGUCUAGUUCAGCACCCAAGAGGUACACAGAAUCUGUUCAAGUGUUCUGUACUUCAGCGAAUUUCCAUGCAGCAAUGGCACGUGGAAUAGGCUACACACACAUAAAGACAGAGCAAUGAAACAAAGGUGAUUAAUGAGCUAAUACUGGCCUUAUAGAAACAGGGCCAAUCAUUCUAAGUUCACUGUAAUUCUUAAAUGCAAGUUUUCGAGCUCAUUGCAUUUUCUAACAUAGCAAUGAAACUGUUACUCCUGCUGUAAAUGAAUACAGAACUAGACUCCCUACUUGUAGCUUACACGGACUGCUUACCAGUGGCAGGCUGGGCACUACCCUCAGCCUCAAACAUCCCAGCAAGAUACUAUCAUGCAGAAUGUCACCUUGCUUUGCUUGCAAAAGUGACGCCCUCCUCCGUGCACCGGAGCAAGAAACACAGGUAGUGGAGGGGGGGGGAAAGAGAAUAGGAAAAAAAAAAGGGGGGAGAAAACAAUGUUCUUAUGCAGAAAAAUAAAUCCUCAGCCAGUGUGAAGAGGCCACAGAUCUUUAAAAUUCAAAUGAAGGCUGUUUUCUCAACUCAGUUCUACAAGAGAAAGAUUUCUCUAUCAAACCCAUUAUCUUCAGGUAACAGAAUUUCUUUGGAGUCCCUGAGAUACUACAGCUCUUGGACAAAUGGAGAGACUGACUUAGUAUACAGAUAAACAAGGUGGAAGCCAAUAUAUAGCACCCUGAGUUGCAAGUGAAACAACAGGAAUGGGUAACCCACUCCUCAACAGCCAAGAGAUGCCGAAGAAAGUGCAGAGGAGGAAUUGGCUAGGGAAUUAUAAGAUAUAUACUGCACAGGAGAACAGGGGAAAAAAAUAAUUGAAGUAUUUCUAAAAGGUCUUUCCUUGUUAUCAGAGCAGUGAAGAAAAAGACAGCAGUCAGAGAGAAGAGCUUCUGAGAGAUGCCCUGAAGAAAUACAGCCUUCUAGGUGUACAGCAGAACGAUAAUGCAAAAGCAGAGACAAGUUUGGCAGUCUUGUUCCAAGCGUGCCCUGAAGGAUAAGCACUCCAGCAAUCACUCAGAACUGUCAGCAAUCACUGACUAGUACUCUGGAUAUAAACCAGGAAUAGAAAUACUUUCCCCCCUGAAACUACAGAAAAAAUACAAAGAGGAAAAAUACAAAGUCACAAUUAAAUCAGAGAAUACUUUCCAUAGUCAAAAAUGAAAUACUGGCUUCAGAAACAAUACAGCCAUCUGCUCUGUAUCUUAAAUAGCGUUAAUCAUAAAAAAGAAGUGCUUGUAAAAUCUAAGUAUGAUAUAUUUUAUUUCCCCGCAUAUUGCUAAAUAAUUUUGCAGUUAAACCAAAAAGGAAGAAAUAUCAGAGAUGAAUAUGGAAUACUUACAACUAGAAAAUGGUUGCUGAACCAUCUGAAUUUCUAUAAAAACAUCAAUCAAAAUGUAAAAACAGGGUCUCACAAACCUAACUAGAAUCUGAAAUGCCAGAUUGUCUUCACAAUGGUUACAACAUGAAUAUUGAUGGAGUUUUGCAACCAAAACUAAUUGUGACUUCGCCAAAAGAUGGCUUAAUACCGCAAUCAAAACAUCUAAGAACUGGGACUUGUAUUUCUGCAAUUUCCUAUUCUCUCAGCUGUUCAGCAUUCAGUGAAUUUAAUGCUGAACUGCUUAAUAGCUUACUUUCUAUUAAGCAAUUCUCAUUAGAAAAAAAAUGCUGCCUGGUCACAAUUUUACUCUCUAACGGAGUUGUGCUGUGUCUCCAUCCAUUCUUGGGAAAAUAAAGAAAAGUGAAUAAAAAGCUGAACGGAAAUGGACACUCUAUAAAAGCUACCUGUAAAGUAUCCUAAGUCUGGAAAAUAUUUGUGACAUUACACAGGCUACUGCUGAUGCAAAAGAAAAAUUGCAGUUUAACCAUUUCAUGAAUAUGACCAAUGCACUUGUUCCCAGCCAUUCAG
rnacentral:lncRNA from 1 species